UUUUUUUUAGUUCAGGAGGUAUGUUAUAUUACGUAUGUAAGAAACAUCUUCCAAGGAAAAUAGUUCCGUUAAGGGUUCCUUUCCUUGGGUCGGCAUGCCGUACUUGUGCGUGCCUGGGCUUUGGUCCGUAUGACGGAAAAGCUGUCCCGUGGUGUUAGAAGGGUUACAAGAAUGUAACAAUCUGUCGUUGGAUUGCCGACCAACUAUUCUCUUAAGAACGCUAGUUUUCGGCUUCACCCGUCUGAGGUACAUGUCCGGAUGACCCUGUUGUAACAAUCGCAGAGGUGCUCCCUUUACGCCCUAGCCGAACAAUCGGGAACGUAGGGCAUAAACACAGGAGCGAGGCAACCCAGCUUGGCAAAAACUUAAGUCAUAGAGGUGCAUAUAAUGGCAAAAGAGUGUAUAUAAACAAACGACAUAUAAAUGUUGAGCUCUAGGCUCUGAAUUAAUAAGCUUCGGUUUAAAGAAGCCCCAGUCAUGGUGGGGUGUAUACAUUUUAAGAUGUGUACCCCUUAAGAGUUCGGCCUAUCCAAACAUAUCCUGGGAAACGUAUAAGAACGAGAAAACCAAAACAUAAGGAGAAGGAAGGAAAAAGGGGCGGAUAAUGUCGAGGGGCACUCGAGGUGAGUCAUGGAUAAUGUCGCAGGGCAAGACAACCUCUACGCUGUACAUCAUGAAAAAGGGGGUGUACCCGGUCGUGCGAUUGGGCGUGGUCCGCAAUCCCCAAAGUACGGAAUCGAGUUCCUCGACCAAGUGUUUAUCUGACUCCCGUAGGGAUCGCACUAGUCUGGGUUUGAUGCCGCUCAUUAUCAGGCCAUUUGCCCGUUCGACUUGACCAUUUGUUUGAGGGUGGUAUACAGAGGCGUAAUCGAGCUAGAUACCCAAGUUAGCACACCAAUUUUUUACCUCAUCGGCUAUGAAAUUGGAGCCAUUAUCAGUGAUGAUGCUGUGUGGGACACCAUAACGGUGUUCCACACCGGAUAUAAAGUCGAUCACGGGCCCGACUUUGGCCAUUUUGACUGGUUUGGCCUCUAUCCACUUAGUGAAUUUAUCCACCAUAACCAGCAAAUAUUUCUUCUUGUGGCUUCCCCCUUUAAGGGGUCCGACCAAAUCCAGCCCCCAGACAGCAAAGGGCCAAGUGAAGGGGAUUUUUCUUAAGGCAGUGGGCGGCAUAUGACUUUGAUUGCGAAAAGCUGACAUCCCUCACAACGCUGUACAAGGGCCUGUGCGUCUGCUCGGGUCGUUGGCCAAAAGAAACCUAUACGGAAGGCCUUGUUUACGAGGGCCCGAGCUGCGGCAUGAUGGACACCAAGACCAGCAUGUAUUUCAGCCAAAAGCUGUCGUCCCUCCUCUUCGGAGAUGCAUCUUUGAAGGACUCCAGCAGUACUUUUCUUGUAGAGUUCACUGUCGUGAACUUUGUAGGCUUUAGAGCAUCGAACUAUGCGACGGGCCUCAUUCUGAUCAUUAGGGAGUUCCUGCCUAUUAAGGUAGGCCAGGAACCGUUCGGUCCAUGGAGCAAUGACGGCCAUGAUUACAUGAGCGGAAGGUGUCAUUUUGGUGCCCGAGUCCCCGAUGAUAUUAGAUUUGUCUUCGGCAACUGGGGGUAUGAUCGGGUCCGGACUGGUAUUUCCGCUCUCGUCCUGCCAUACCACGGAUGGCUUGAAGAGCCUCCCCACAAAGGUGUUAGGUGGGACGGGAUCACGCUUAGCACCCAUUCGAUCAAGGAUGUCCGCUACCUGAUUACUGUCUCGAGCAACGUGAUGGAACUCAAGCCCCUCAAACCGAGCUGAUAUUUUUAGUACAACAUUUCGAUAUGCCGCCAUUUUUGGGUCUUUUGCGUCAAACUCUCCAUUUAUUUGGGAUAUUGUGAGGUUCGAAUCCCCACGCACCUCUAGGCGUUGUAUGCCCAUAGAGACAACCAUUCAGAGACCAUGUAUAAGUGCCUCAUAUUCGACCACAUUGUUGGAGUCCAUAUACAUGAUUUGUAAGACACAGCGGACUGUGUCCCCAGUAGGGUAUGUUAAGAUGACACCAGCCCCCAGUCCGGCUAACAUUUUAGAGCCGUCGAAGUACAUGACCCAGUUGGAGUAUGUGUUGUACUCUUUAGGGAGUUCGGCUUCCGUUCAUUCGGCUACAAAGUCGGCCAACUCCUGAGAUUUAAUAGCUCGGCGUGGCUUGUAUGUUAUUUCAAAUGGUAAGAGCUCGAUGACCCAUUUGGCUAUGCGGCCAGUGGCAUCCCGAUUAUUUAUGAUGUCAUUGAGUGGUACUUCGGAUGCCACCAUGAUCGAACACUCUUGAAAGUAGUGCCGCAGUUUCCGGGAUGCCAUGAAGACAACAUACGCUAUCUUUUGAUAGUGCGGGUAUCGAUAUUUGCAUGGUGUAAGGACCGCCGAUACAUAGUACACUGGUUUCCGGACUGGGAAUUUGUGUCCAUCUUCCUCUCGUUCGACGACGAGUACGGCGCGUACCACCUGGUGAGUCGCAGAUAUAUAAAGCAACAUAGGCUCACCAACACCUGGUGUGGCUAGGAUUGGGUUGCCUGCUAACAAGGUCUUUAUUUCUUCCAAUCCAGCUAUAGCCGCAUCCGUCCAUUCGAAGUGGUCGGUGCGCCGGAGCAGUCGAUAAAGUGGCAGCGCCUUUUCUCCUAGUCUGGAGAUAAAGCGGCUCAAGGCUGCCACGCACCCAACUAGUUUUUGGACCUGCUUUACGUCUAUUGGUAUUGCCAAUUGUGACAAGGCUCGGAUUUUGGCGGGGUUCGCUUCAAUUCCUCUGUUGGAAACAAUGAACCCGAGCAGUUUCCCACCUGGGACGCCGAAAACACAUUUUUCUGGAUUGAGUUGUAUGUCAUAUGUUCGGAGGUUGUCAAAUGUGAGGCGUAGGUCGUCCACCAGUGAUUCGACGUGUUUAGUCUUGAUGACCACGUCGUCCACAUAUGCCUCCACUGUUUUGCCAAUUUGUUUUUCCAGACAUGUUUGAAUCAUGCGUUGGUAGGUGGCACCAGCGUUUUUGAGUCCGAAGGGCAUAGUGUUGAAGCAUAAAGGCCCGUACGGGCUGAUAAAUGCCUUUGCGGCUUGAUCGGACUCCUUCAUCUUAAUCUGAUGGUAACCGGAGUAGGCGUUGAGGAAACACAAUGAAUCGUGUCCUGCAGUUAUGUCAAUGAUUUGGUCAAUGCGCGGCAGCGGGAAGGGGUCCUUAGGGCAAGCCUUAUUGAGGUCUUUGAAAUCGACACACAAGCACCAUGAUUUAUCCUUCUUCGGCACCAUGACCAGGUUCGCUAGCCAGUCCGGGUGUUUGAUUUCUCUGAUGAACCCAGCUUCAAGUAGUUUGGCUAGCUCCUCCCCCAUAGCUUGUCGUUUGGGUUCGAAAAAUCGUUGCAGCAUUUGCUUGACUGGUUUGAACCCCUUUAUUAUGUGGAGGCUAUGUUCGGCCAGUCUGUGUGGGAUUCCUGGCAUAUCCGAAGGAUGCAAGGGAAGAUGUCCCAAUUUUUGCGCAGGAACGCCCAUAAGGCGAUGUUGACCGUCGGAUCCAGCUGUGCUCCAAUGGAUGUUGUCUUGUUAGGAUCCGUCGGGUGCAGUUGAAAUUUGACUAUUUCAUCUGCUGAUUUGAAAGAGGUGGACUUGGGCCUCUUGUCAAGGAUUACAUUGUCUUUGUCCACUAUGGAACGCAGAGUGGUUAAUUCUUCGGCCACGAGUGUCGGUGUCAAAACCGGCGGAUCUCGGGUAGGGGGUCCCGAACUGUGCGUCUAAGGUCGAUGGUAACAGGAGACAGGGGACACAAUGUUUACCCAGGUUCGGGCCCUCUCUAUGGAGGUAAUACCCUACUUCCUGCUUGAUUGAUCUUGAUGAAUAUGAGUAUUACAAUAGUUGAUCUACCACGAGAUCGUAAUGGCAAAACCCUAGAAGUCUAGCCUGUCUGACGAUAUAUCCUCUACGGACUAAGCCCUCCGGUUUAUAUAGACAUCGGAGGGGACUAGGGUUACACAAAGUCGGUUACAGAGAAGGGAAUCUUCAUAUUUGGUCGCCAAGCUUGCCUUCCACGCCAAGGAGAGUCCCAUCCGGACACGAGUAAAGUCUUUGGUCUUUGUAUCUUCACAGCCCAUUAGUCCGGCCCAUGUCCAACAGACCAGACACCCGAGGACCCCUUAGUCCAGGACUCCCUCAGUAGCCCCUGAACCAGGCUUCAAUGACGAGGUGUCCAGCGCGCAGAUUGUCUUCGGCAUUGCAAGGCGGGUUCCCCUUCCCGAAUACUCCAAGAUAGUCUUCGGACGUAACGAACGUGUCCGGACCUACAACACAAGUACCACACACACAACCCCAGAGAGUAUAAUAGUCCAAUCCGCUGACAACUUUUUGUAAUGUGACAUCAUAUCUGCCCGACCAUUAUUUCGAGCCGUUCCAUGUUUCGAGACGCGGUUUUCAUUGGCACGUCUUGUUGAAGCAGAGAUCGUGUCCCCUUAUUGCGGGAUUCUCAUCAAUACGAGCGUGGGUAAUCCAACCGUGUCGUUUGCACAACCCUUGGGAAUAGGCGAGUUUUAAGGCGAGUGGGGAGGCGCUUGAUAUUCACUGCCUUUAUAAGGAGAUAAGGAUUCCCCUUCUUCACUCACGCCUUCUCUUUCUCUGCCCUUCCAUUCUCGAGCUCCAGCGCCCAAGUCUUCAUCCUUUUCGCUUCCAGAAAGCACUCAACCAUGUCCGGAUCUGGAGGCCAAGGCAAGUGGAUGGCCUCCUCCGUCAAGGAGAAGGACAUCACUGAGCUUCGGGCGCGCAUCCAAAGCAUGGUGGAUGAAAACAUCAAGCUCGUCCACGUGAUCCAGGUGAUGCUAGUUCGCCGGAUCCUACCAUGCCAGAGCCGAACAUGCCCUUUAUGGGAAUUUGAUCCGGAGAAGCACCCGACCUUGGAGAGGCUCUUCGGAACCACCCAUGAAGACGCGUGGAAGUUGCUCUUUAAGGGCAACGAGACGCCGCCGGCCAUAGACUCAGACCGCGGGCACGAUCUUGCCCAUCCUGCUAGUGCGGUAAGACUUUCUUGUCUCACGAUGCAUCCUCUACUUGCUUGUUCAAGGAAGAUAUCUAAAACUUCACUAUUUACUUUUUCAGGUAUGGACAGAGAAAGCGGAGCGGAUUCGGUGUCCGACUCCACUGCCCGAAGAACCAGUCAUCCCGCUCCUGGCGAAGAUGUUGGUUCCGGCGCCCUACAAGGCGCCGGAGAAGAAGGCCAAGAAGAAGGCGAAGGGGGCCAAAGGUGGCCCUCGCCGCAAAGGAGCUUCAGACGUGUCGUCCGAAGACAAGACUCACUCCUCCGCCGCCGAAGACAACGAUGGGGAGGAGGAAGAAAGCAACUCUUCCCCUGGUGGGGGAAGGAAGAAGAGGGCAGCCUCCACGAAUCUGGAGGUGGAGGUGCCCAAGAGGGGGAAGGGUCCCCUCGCGGAUAACACCGCGUGGGACGUCGGCGGCAGCCCCGAGCGACGCCCCCGAAGCAAGCCCCUGGCCGCAUCGUAACUACUAAAACCCGUGUAUGUCCAUGUAUCCGACCUCUCCUCUUCAUGGUAUUAACAUGUUGAAUUAUGUCGUUGCAGUCCGACCCGCGACAGCUCCUCGCGAUCCUCAUCAGGAUGUUCGCUGCAUUCAAAGGCGAUGGCCAGUAAGUCACCGCCGGCCGCUGACUCUCCCAAGGCCAAGGGUGUAACACCCCAGAUGUAACUUUCCAUAUUUGUAACUCCAACUCUUGCCAUUUUCGGCUAUGUGUUAUGAUAUUCUCUCCGUGGUUGGGUUUUUGUCUUUCGUUUUGCAUUUUGUUCAUGUCAUGCAUCUCAUAUCAUGUCAUCAUGCGCAUCUCAUUUGCAUACGUGUUCGUCUCAUGCAUCCGAGCAUUUUCCCCGUUGUCCGUUUUGCAAUCCGGCACUCCCACAUGCACCGGCGCACCCCCUCUUCUCUCUUUUCGUGAGCGGGUGUUAAACGUUUUCGGAAUGGACCGAGGAUUGCCAAGUGGCCUUGGUACACCACCGGUAGACCACCUAUCAAGUUUCGUUCCAUUUGGAGGUCGUUUGAUGCUCCAACGGUUAACCGGGUAACCGCAAAGGCCUUUUGUGUGUUGCAGCCAAACACCCCGCCAAAACAGCCCAAUAACCCAUCUAAGUCACCUCCAUGCUCUUGGUCAUUCGAUCACGAUCGUGUGGGCGAAAACCGCACUCCAUUUGGAGUCUCCUAGCUCCCUCUAGCUAUAAAUAUGUCCUCCUCGUCCAAAUCCGGGUCCAAACCCUAGUCUUCCCCUUCCUCCACGCGCCGGACACGUCCNNNNNNNNNNNNNNNNNNNNNNNNNNNNNNNNNNNNNNNNNNNNNNNNNNNNNNNNNNNNNNNNNNNNNNNNNNNNNNNNNNNNNNNNNNNNNNNNNNNNNNNNNNNNNNNNNNNNNNNNNNNNNNNNNNNNNNNNNNNNNNNNNNNNNNNNNNNNNNNNNNNNNNNNNNNNNNNNNNNNNNNNNNNNNNNNNNNNNNNNNNNNNNNNNNNNNNNNNNNNNNNNNNNNNNNNNNNNNNNNNNNNNNNNNNNNNNNNNNNNNNNNNNNNNNNNNNNNNNNNNNNNNNNNNNNNNNNNNNNNNNNNNNNNNNNNNNNNNNNNNNNNNNNNNNNNNNNNNNNNNNNNNNNNNNNNNNNNNNNNNNNNNNNNNNNNNNCUCCACCUGCGCGCCCCGACCCCGCGGCCGCACCUCCUCCGGCCGGCCUCCUUCCUCUCCGGCGCUCGUCCUCGUCCCCGCCGGCGCCUCCUCCUCCCUCUCCGCCCCGAUCUCCGACGAGCCGUCGCUGCCUCGGCAUCCGCGCCCGAAGAACCCUAGAUCUGGGAAGAAGGUUGACUCCGAAAUCCUCUAAGUCCCGUGUUGUUCACAUUUUGUUGCUCUGUUCAUUGCAUCAUAUCUCAUUGCAUACUACUCUGUUUUGCUUGAAUGAUAUAUCGAAAUGUUUAUCACGAGAUGCUAUUCAUCUUGUUCCAUUGUGCCAUGCUCGUUUGAGUCCAUCUUGAGGCCCAAAUCCCUGGUGCAAGAGUGUUAUAUGAUGUUUACUGCUGUUACUUAUCAGAACUUGGUGUUUUGUUAUUUUUGCUACAUUUGAUGUGUGCAUCUUUUGGGCAUGAGCUCUACAGGUGUUUUGAUCUAUGCCGUGCCAUCUUUACAGAGGUGUAUGACAUGCAUUUUUGUGAUCUAUGUGGUGACUAGCACAAGCAUGCAAACUACGCUUCGUGAUGUUUCUGUUUUCAGGGACUUAGAAUGUUGCAGUCUUUUACGUGAUGUUAUUUUGUUGCCAUGUAUCCAUGUGUCUACAGUGAGAUCCAUGUUUCUUUUGGGUAUGUUCAGUAAGUAUGUUUUGGACAUAUGGUUAUGCAAUUAUGGAGUGCCAUAGAAUGUCUUAAUCUUGCUCUACUUUUGGUAUAAAAUGUUCCUGGCAGAAUGUUAAUAUGAUAUUCAAUUUUGCCAAGGUUGUUGUAGUUGAUCCUUACACGCUAUGAACUUGAUCUUGCCAUGGUUAGCUUCAUAAACAUUCCAUCUUGCUGUAGGUAUGCUUGUUUUGUCAUGCAUUGCUUUGUGAUGAGUGAAUCGAGCUCACAAAGAUGCCUUCAUAUUUCUGUUAAUGCCAUGCUCUGUUUUCUGCCAAGUCUGAAACCUGUUAACGAAACUUGCUAUGUUUACAUGGGUGCCAUCAUAUCUUCUGAUCCUUUUUGGCUCAUGGCUAUGAAGGGACUUUUGUUCUAUGCAUUUACUAGAUUCAUUUCAUGCCUUGUUGUGCUAUGUUAAGUUCCUGUAGCAUAUUGAUUGCUUGCUCUGAACAUUGCUACCUGAUGCUGUUUCAGCCAUGUUCUGUAUUUUCACCAAGUCUGUGAAGCUGAUAUCUUUUGCACUUUUGCCAUGCUUGUUUGAACCAGUUAUAUUGUGAUCUAGCCGUAGCUCAGUGUUCAUCUUUUGUCAAGCAUCUCCUGUAGAUCACUUCCAUAUGCUUUGUUGCUAUGUUGGGGUGUUGUAGCGUAGUUACUUGAUGUAUUCUAAGUGCUAUCAUGCUGUUAAUCGCAGAAUCGUGUCAUUCUUGUUUUGCUUGCCAUUUGCAAAACGUGCAUCCGUUUCCGGUGAUCUUUAUAUCGAUUUCGACCGAAAUCAUCUCAUCUUUCCAGUCGCAUACUUGGUUUUCCAAGUUUCUGCCUUGUUCAUCCUUUUUUCUUCCGGAGCACGCAUACGCAUCGCAUAUUAUAUCUCGCAUAUCAUGCAUGUAUUGCAUCAUGUUGCUUGUGCAUUUCCCGUGAUUGAUUGUGGUUCCAUUGCUUGUGUUCUUGCUGUGGGUAGAGCUGGGAGACGAGUUCGUGAACGAGGAACAUAUUGAGUACGCUUACGAGGAUCAAGCUUUUGACAACUCUGAGAACCUUGCAGGCAAGAUGACCAUACCCUCGAAAUCACUUCUAUCUUUGCUUUGCUAGUUGUUCGUUCUAUUGCUAUGCCGCGCUACCUACCUUGCUAUAUCUUGCCUCCCAUAUUGCCAUGUCAAGCCUCUAACCAUCCUUUCCUAGCAAACCGUUGUUUGGCUAAGUUACCGCUUUUGCUCAGCCCUUCUUAUAGCGUUGCUAGUUGCAGGUGAAGUUGAAGUAGAUUCCAUGUUGGAACAUGGAUAUUUUGGCAUAUCACAAUAUCUCUUCUUUAAUUAAUGCAUCUAUAUAUUUGGUAAAGGAUGGAAGGCUCGGCCUUAUGCCUGCUGUUUUGUUCCACUCUUGCCGCCCUAGUUUCCGUCAUACCGGUAUUAUGUUCCUUGAGUUUGUGUUCCUUACGCGGUUGGGUGAUUUAUGGGACCCCCUUGACAGUUCGCUUUGAAUAAAACUCCUCCAGCAAGGCCCAACCUUGGUUUUCCAUUUGCCUACCUAAGCCUUUUUCCCUUGGGUUUUCGCGAGCCCGAGGGUCAUCUUUAUUUAACCCCCCCCCCCCCCGGGGGCCAGUGCUCCUUCGAGUGUUGGUCCGAACCGAGCAGCCUGCGGGGCCACCUCGGGGAAACUCGAGGCCUGGUUUUACUCGUAGCUUGACUUAUCCGGUAUGCCCUGAGAACGAGAUAUGUGCAGCUCCUAUCGGGAUUUGUCGGCGCAUCGGGCGGCUUUGCUGGUCUUGUUUUACCAUUGUCGAAAUGUCUUGUAAACCGGGAUUCCGAGACUGAUCGGGUCUUCCCGGGAGAAGGUUUAUCCUUCGUUGACCAUGAGAGCUUAUAAUGGGCUAAGUUGGGACACCCCUGCAGGGUAUUAUCUUUCGAAAGCCGUGCCCGCGGUUAUGAGGCAGAUGGGAAUUUGUUAAUGUCAGGUUGUAGAGAACUUUACACUUGACUUAAUUAAAAUACAUCAACCGUGUGUGUAGCCGUGAUGGUCUCUUCUCGGCGGAGUCCGGGAAGUGAACACGGUUUGAGUUAUGCAUGAACGUAAGUAGUUUCAGGAUCACUUCUUGAUCAUUUCUAGCUUCGCGACCGUUGUGUUGCUUCUCUUCUCGCUCUCUUUUGCGUAUGUUAGCCACCAUAUAUGCUUAGUGCUUGCUGCAGCUCCACCUCAUUACACCAUCCUUUCCUAUAAGCUUAAAUAGUCUUGAUCUCGCGGGUGUGAGAUUGCUGAGUCCUCGUGACUCACAGAUUCUACCAAAACAGUUGCAGGUGCCGACGAUGCCAGUGCAGAUGACGCAACCGAGCUCAAGUGGGUGUUCGACGAGGAACGUGGUCGUUACUAUGUUUUGUUUCCUGAUGAUCAGUAGUGGAGCCCAGUUGGGACGAUCGGGGAUCUAGCAUUUGGGGUUAUCUUAUUUUCAUUUGGAUUUGACCGUAGUCGGUCUAUGUGUGGAUUUUGGAUGAUGUAUGAAUUGAUUUAUUUAUUGUGUGAAGUGGCGAUUGUAAGCCAACUCUCGUUAUCCCAUUCUUGUUCAUUACAUGGGAUUGUGUGAAGAUAACCCUUCUUGCGACAAUACCACAAUGCGGUUAUGCCUCUAAGUCGUGCCUCGACACGUGGGAGAUAUAGCCGUAUCGUGGGCGUUACAAAGGGAGACGACGAGGUGCUGUCCCAAAGGACCUUCCCAGGCCAGGGAGAGGUUCGGGAGGCCGUCAAGGUGGCGCCGGAGGGCGAAACCUCGGUCACCGAACACCUGGGGGAGCAGGUCCCCAUGGAGACUGGCGAUGGGGGCCGUAUUCAGUUCGGCCCCCAGCCAAACAUGGUUCCAGAGACCCAUAUGGCUCCGGAAUCCGGCGAGCAGCCUCCUUCAAAAGAAGGAGGUGUGCCUGUCCCGCCAGUGACCUCUGUCCAGCCAGAGGCACCGGAUAAUCUGCUGGAAGUGCUACGAGGCGCUUCCAUUGUGGAGGAACACCGUAUCCUUAUGGGUACGGUGAUUGAGAGGGUUCCGUCCAUCAAUAGCGGACUGACCGAAGCCUGCAACAGCCUGCUGACCGGCUUUGAGGUAAGCGACGUGAAAGAAAAAGUCCUAGUAUAGAUAGUAGCCCCUGAGACACUGUCCAGUGUACGAAAAGAAAUGCCGGACAGAGGAUCAAUUAAUUUUCGCAGGAAACUAACUAAAUAUGUCUUAUGUGAAUAAGCAGGCAUCGUUGCUAGCUGCAACCUCUCAAGCAGCGGAGGUCUCCGGACUAAAGUUGAGUCUGGAGCGGGCCGAAGAAGAGCUCGGCCUUGUAAAAAGGCAGCUUGAGGACAAGCAAGGUAUGUUGUGGCUAGCUGUUUACUCAGAAAGAAUGAACGGUGUGUAAUGACCGUAAUGUCAUGGUAUUUGUAGGGGCGGCAACCGAGGUCAAGGUCCUGAAAAAGGCCCUGGUCGAAGCCGAGGAGAAAGCUGCCAAGGAACAAGCCACCCGUAAGAAGCUCGAGGCCAGGCUUAAUGAGGUCUAGCAAGAGCUCUAGGAUGCUGUGAAAAAAUGCGAGACCUUGGAGUGCGAUGUUUUGGCUCGAGAAACUGAACUCACCAAGGCUCGCCAAAGCGCGGAAGAGGCCCGGGUUGAAGCCCAGGGUGCCCUCCAGGAGAUCUAGGAAGCCAAGAAAAUCGCGGCGGGUAAGGCGUUUAGUAUGCAAAGCAAGUAUGUGAAGAAGAAGUAUUUCUUACUAACCCGUAUUCGGAGUUCUCCAGGGGCGUUUGCGGAUCUGCCGCGUAGUGUGUCUGACACUGCGGAGUUCUUCCGAGCCGAAGAAGGAGCUCAACGGAGAAACUGUUCUGGUAGCAAUAUCUUGCGCCAGAACAUCCAGGGCCCUUUAGCGAUCAGCUAAAACAGCUGGUCGAGCUGCAUAGGGUGGCCGAGCUAGCCAUGAAGGAUUUGAUAAUCCGGCUGUGGCCUGCCGAAGCUAUACCCAGCAGCUACUUCGGUCUCGUGAAGCGGCUGGUAGAUGCCUACCCUCGGCUAGACGUCGUCAAGCGGUCGGCCUGCAUCGAGGGCACGCGCAUGGCCUUCGCCCGCGUCAAGGUGUGGUGGGCGAAGAUGGAUGCAGUCAAGCUUGUGACCGAGGGGCCACCCGAAGGCAAGGAGCACCGCACGCCCGAGCAGUAUUUUGAAGACGUCCUGGAGGGGUCUCGCAUUGUGGCGACGCAAUGUGCGCAAGACAUUAUCUUUGAAUGAAUAUAUUCAUGUUGUCUCUGCCUUGUAUGUUGAAACAAAGUUUUUAUGUAAUAUAAUGUUUGUUUUUUUAAAAAAAAUUACCUCCUGUGUGGCCGUGUUGUAUGAAAUCUGAGAGUUGGCCAGUCAUCGGCUUCUGCCCCCACGUAGGUAGUACGGGGGUGUUCGGGAUGGAAUCUAGACACUCUUGAUCCAAUUGUUUGGUCCUUGAAGGAGGUGUUUAGCGCAACGAACCAGGCAAUCAGACUAUGCGGCUUGAACACCCUCACUUAGCCAUAGGAGUUUGACAAUAAAAAAUUUAGGCGUAGCCCCUAGUAUCCGAACUAGGAUGCUGUAAACACCUGAUCGGGCAAGUACCAAUCCUUCGUGUAAUGCGGAAAAAAUAUCUAAAGAUUUGAUACCUCCGAAGAGCUGACCGACUCUCGCCGCAUCAUAACAGUCAGUUUUCGGCUUUCUCUACUGAGGUGCUCAUCCGGGUAAACCAGGGCACCAUCGCAGUAGUUCUCCCUUUACUACCUUAGCCGAUAUAGCGGAACAUAAGGUAGCAAGCACAGGAGCCGGGCAACCCAACUAUUGACCAAAGACAUGAUUCGGAGCCAAUGCAUAUAGUGCUAAAUUCGGGGUGCCGAACUGUACUAUAAAAAGUGUUCGGACUUUGUUGCCAUAGUGCGGGGCGCUAUGAAGCCCCUGGCAAAUGUGAAACAUACCAAAGUGUAAGGGUGCUAUCUGAUAAGGUUAUCAACAGAAAAAGGAAAAUAGAAAAGGAGCAAGGGUAAUGAGCCAGGGCCGCAGAAUUUGGGCCGCAAACUGUUUCCAUUAUAAUUUGAUUAAUACUUCAAAGCGCAUUGAUACAAAUAGUGCAAUAAGCAGCGGGCUAAGCGAAAACCAAGGGAGAGCUGCGUGUGGGUCCUGAAAACAGGUAGAGUGACCGUUAAAGAAACCACCUAGAAAUUCCCCUAUAAGUCUGUGUUGCUUGCCAUCUUGGUGUAUUUAUCCUUCGAAAGGACCGGUGAUCAGGCCAUCAGGGAAGGUAUGUGGAAAAGAAACCUGAAAAGGAGAAAAAAGAAACAAUGAAAGUAUAUGUGUCCUGGGGCGGUCGAGCCGUAUUGUGGAUCACAAGCUAGUUAUGCCUCCGUCUAUGCCCAUGGUAUUUUGAGUGCGUAGUUAUGUACGCACGGUGCGAAUGCCGCCACUUGAUCGGGACAUGGACGGAGGCCAAAUUGCUAGUCGAGCUCUUGACGAGCCGAGCUGUCCUGCUGUAGAAUAGUCCGGACCCUCUUGAUAGUGUUCGGGAGCUCGGCCACCGAAUUAAGGUUCUGCUUAAAAAGGCCGCUCUAUACUUCUACUGCUAAGGCAACGGUGUGCUCCUUGGUGCGGAGGCGUUCCGUGUUUCCAUUAACUGUUAUGAUGCCGCGUGGUCCGGGCAUCUUGAGCUUGAGAUAAGCAUAGUGAGGCACCUCAUUGAAUCGAGCAAAUGUGGUUCGUCCGAGCAGUGCGUGAUAGCCGCUGCGAAAAGGGACGAUAUCAAAAAUUAGCUCUUUGCUUCUGAAGUUGUCCGGAGAUCCGAAGACGACCUCUAGUGUGAUUGAGCCCGUACAGCAGGCCUCUACACCUGGUAUGAGUCCUUUAAAGGUAGCCCUUGUGGGCUUGAUUCGUGAUGGAUUGAUGCCCAUUUUGUGCACUGUAUCCUGAUAGAGCAGGUUCAGGCUGCUGCCGCCGUCCAUGAGGACUUGCGUCAGGUGGAAUCCAUCAAUUAUUGGGUAAGGGACCAAUGCGGCUUAGCCGCCAUGACAGAUACUGGUCGGAUGAUCCCGGUGAUCGAAGGUGAUCGGGCAUGACGACCAUGGAUUGAAUUUUGGGGUGACUGGCUCUAUCGCAUAGACGUCCCUGAGUGCGCGCUUGUGCUCCUUCUUGGGGAUGUGGGUAGCGUAUAUCAUGUUCACCAUUUUGACCUGAGGGGGAAACUUCUUCUGCCCCCCUGUAUUCGGUGGCCAGGGCUCCUCGUCAUCGUCCUCGCUUUGCGAUCCCUUCUCCUUGUUUUCGGCAUUUAAUUUGCCUGCCUGUUUAAAAACCCAACAAUCUCUGUUGGUAUGAUUGGCUGGUUUGUCUGGGGUGCCAUGGAUCUGGCAUGGACGGUCGAGUAUGCGGUACAAACUGGAUGGUCCCGAAUUAUUUCCUUUAUAUGGCUUCUUUCGUUGACCGGACUUGGGGCCGCUGAAUCCGGCGUUGACUGCAGUGUCAUCGGUGUUAUCACCAUUGCUUCGACGUUUGAACUUAUUGUGUCGGAGCUUGCCGUUGCUGUUUUUGACUUCGGAGGUACCCGCUUCGCUUGCCGUGUUUUUGCUAUGGGCCAGCCAACUAUCCUCACCCACACAAAAGCGGGUCAUGAGUGCUGUGAGGGCUGCCAUGGACUUCAGCUUUUCUUGGCCGAGGUGGCGGGCGAGCCAUUCGUCGCGGAUGCUGUGCUUAAAGGCCGCUAGGGCUUCGGCAUCCGGACAGUCGACGAUCUGGUUCUUUUUAGUUAGGAACCUAGUCUAGAAUUUCCUGGCUGACUCUCCGGGCUGUUGAACUAUGUGACUUAGGUCAUCGGCAUCUGGUGGCCGGACAUAUGUACCUUGAAAGUGUUGGGCAACGUAGUAAUUUCAAAAUUUUCCUACGCACACGCAAGAUCAUGGUGAUGCAUAGCAACGAGAGGGGAGAGUAUUGUCCACGUACCCUCGUAGACCGUAAGCGGAAGCGUUCUGAGAAUGCGGUUGAUAUAGUCGUACGUCUUCACGAUCCGACCGAUCCAAGUACCGAACGCACGGCACCUUCGAGUUCAGCACAUGUUCAGCUCGAUGACGUCCCACGAACUCUGAUCUAGCAGAGCUUCGCGAGAGAGUUCCGUCGGCACGACAACAUGAUGAUGGUGAUGAUGUUGCUACCGACGCAGGGCUUCUCCUAAGCACCGCUACGAUAUGAUUGAGGUCGAUUAUGGUGGAGGGGGGCACCACACAUGGCUUGGGACAAUCAACUUGUNNNNNNNNNNNNNNNNNNNNNNNNNNNNNNNNNNNNNNNNNNNNNNNNNNNNNNNNNNNNNNNNNNNNNNNNNNNNNNNNNNNNNNNNNNNNNNNNNNNNNNNNNNNNNNNNNNNNNNNNNNNNNNNNNNNNNNNNNNNNNNNNNNNNNNNNNNNNNNNNNNNNNNNNNNNNNNNNNNNNNNNNNNNNNNNNNNNNNNNNNNNNNNNNNNNNNNNNNNNNNNNNNNNNNNNNNNNNNNNNNNNNNNNNNNNNNNNNNNNNNNNNNNAAGGAGCAAGGGAGGAGGCCAGCCGGCCCUUGGGGCGCGCCAAGGAGGGGGGAGUCCUCCUCCUAGUAGGAGUAGGACUCCCUCUUCCUAGUCCAACUAGGAAGAGGGAAGGGGGAAGGAAAGAGAGGGAGAGGGAAAGAGGGGUCGCGCCCCCCUCCCCUAGUCCAAUUCGGACUCCUCAUGGGAGGGGGCGCGCCACCUCCUGGGUUGCUGCCCUCACUCUCUCCCCUCAGGCCCACUAAGGUCCAAUACUUCCCCGGGGGGUUCCGGUAACCCCUCCGGCAUUCCGGUUUUCUCCGAAACCACCCGGAACACUUCCGGUGUCCGAAUAUAUCCGUCCAAUAUAUCAAUCUUUACAUCUCGACCAUUUCAAGACUCCUCGUCAUGUCUGUGAUCACAUCCGGGACUUCGAACUACCUUCGGUACAUCAAAUCACAUAAACUCAUAAUACCGAUCGUCACCGAACUUUAAGCGUGCGGACCCUACGGGUUCGAGAACUAUGUAGACAUGACCGAGACACGUGUCCGGUCAAUAACCAAUAGCGGAACUUGGAUGCUCAUAUUGGUUCCUACAUAUUCUACGAAGAUCUUUAUCGGUCAAACCGCAUAACAACAUACGUUGUUCCCUUAGUCAUCGGUAUGUUACUUGCCCGAGAUUCGAUCGUCGGUAUCUCAAUACCUAGUUCAAUCUCGUUACCGGCAAGUCUCUUUACUCGUUCUGUAAUGCAUCAUCCCGCAACUAACUCAUUAGUCACAUUGCUUGCAAGGCUUAUAGUGAAGUGCAUUACCGAGAGGGCCCAAAGAUACCUCUCCGACAAUCGGAGUGACAAAUCCUAAUCUCGAUCUAUGCCAGCUCAACAAGUACCAUCGGAGACACCUGUAGAGCACCUUUAUAAUCACCCAGUUACGUUGUGACGUUUGGUAGCACACAAAGUGUUCCUCCGGUAUCCGGGAGUUGCAUAAUCUCAUAGUCAUAGGAACAUGUAUAAGUCAUGAAGAAAGCAAUAGCAAUAUACUAAACGAUCAAGUGCUAAGCUAACGGAAUGGGUCAAGUCAAUCACAUCAUUCUCUAAUGAUGUGAUCCCGUUAAUCAAAUGACAACUCUUGUCUAUGGCUAGGAAACUCAACCAUCUUUGAUUCAACGAGCUAGUCAAGUAGAGGCAUACUAGUGACACUCUGUUUGUCUAUGUAUCCACACAUGUACUAAGUUUCUGGUUAAUACAAUUCUAGCAUGAAUAAUAAACAUUUAUCAUGAAAUAAGGAAGUAAAUAACAACUUUAUUAUUGCCUCUAGGGCAUAUUUCCUUCAGUCUCCUACUUGCACUAGAGUCAAUAAUCUAGUUCACAUCGCCAUGUGGUUUAACACCAAUAGUUCACAUCACCAUGUGAUCAUCGCCAUGUGACCAACACUCAAAGGGUUUACUAGAGUCUGUAAUCUUAGUUCACAUCGCCAUGUGAUUAACACCCAAAGAGUACUAAGGUGUGAUCAUGUUUUGCUUGUGAGAGAAGUUUAGUCAACGGGUCUGCCAUAUUCAGAUCCGUAUGUAUUUUGCAAAUUUCUAUGUCAACAAUGCUCUGCACGGAGCUACUCUAGCUAAUUGCUCCCUUUUUCAAUAUGUAUCCAGAUUGAGACUUAGAGUCAUCUGGAUUAGUGUCAAAACUUGCAUCGACGUAACCCUUUACGACGAACCUUUUGUCACCUCCAUAAUCGAGAAACAUAUCCUUAUUCCACUAAGGAUAAUUUUGACCGCUGUCCAGUGAUCUACUCCUAGAUCAUUAUUUUACUCCCUUGCCAAACUCAGUGUAGGGUAUACAAUAGAUCAGGUACACAGCAUGGCAUACUUUAUAGAACCUAUGGCUGAGGCAUAGGGAUUGACUUUCAUUCUCUUUCUAUCUUCUGUCGUGGUCGGGCUUUGAGUCUUACUCAAUUUCACACCUAGCAACUCAGGCAAGAACUCCUUCUUUGACUGUUCUAUUUUGAACUACUUCAAAAACUUGUCAAGGUAUGUACUAAUUGAAAAAACUUAUCAAGCGUCUUGAUCUAUCUCCAUAGAUCUUGAUGCCCAAUAUGUAAACAACUUCACCGAGGUCUUUUUUGUUUGAAAAACUCCUUUCAAACACUCCUUUAUGCUUUCCAGAAAAUUCUACAUCAUUUUCGAUCAACAAUAUGUCUUUCACAUAUACUUAUCAGAAAGGCUGUAGUGCUCCCACUCACUUUCUUGUAAAUACAGGCUUCACCGCAAGUCUGUAUAAAACUAUAUGCUUUGAUCAACUCAUCAAAGCGUAUAUUCCAACUCCGAGAUGCUUGCACCAGUCCAUAGAUGGAUCACUGGAGAUUUGCACACUUUGUUAGCACCUUUGGGAUCGACAAAACCUUCUGGUUGCAUCAUAUACAACUCUUCUUUAAGAAAACCAUUUAAGGAAUGCACGUUUGACAUCCAUUUGCCAAAUUUCAUAAAAUGUGGCAAUUGCUAACAUGAUUCGGACAGACUUUUAUGCAUCGAUACAAGUGAGAAAAUCUCAUUGUAGUCAACACCUUGAACUUGUCGAAAACCUUUUGCGAUAAGUCGAGCUUUGUAGACAGUAACAUUACCAUCAGUGUCCGUCUUCCUCUUGAAGAUCCAUUUAUUUUCUAUGGCUUGCCGAUCAUCGGGCAAGUCAAUCAAAGUCCACACUCUAUUCUCAUACAUGGAUCCCAUCUCAGAUUUCAUGGCCUCAAGCCAUUUCGCGGAAUCUAGGCUCAUCAUCGCUUCCUCAUAGUUCGUAGGUUCGUCAUGGUCUAGUAACAUGACCUCCAGAACAGGAUUACCGUACCACUCUGGUGCGGAUCUUACUCUGGUUGACCUACGAGGUUCGGUAGUAACUUGAUCUGAAGUUAGAUGAUCAUCAUCAUUAGCUUCCUCGCUAAUUGGUGUAGAAGUCACAGGAACAGAUUUCUGUGAUGAACUACUUUCCAAUAAGGGAGCAGGUACAAUUACCUCAUCAAGUUUUACUUUCCUCCCACUCACUUCUUUUGAGAGAAACUCCUUCUCUAGAAAGGAUCCAUUCUUAGCAAAGAAUGUCUUGCCUUCGGAUCUGUGAUAGAAGGUGUACCCAACAGUCUCCUUUGGGUAUCCUAUGAAAACACAUUUCUCCGAUUUGGGUUCGAGCUUAUCAGGUUGAAGCUUUUUCACAUAAGCAUCGCAGCCCCAAACUUUAAGAAACAAAAACUUUGGUUUCUUGCCAAACCACAGUUCAUAUGGUUUCGUUCCAACGGAUUUAGAUGGUGCCCUAUUUAACGUGAAUGCAGCUGUCUCUAAUGCAUAACCCCAAAAUGAUAGUGGUAAAUCGGUAAGAGACAUCAUAGAUUGCACCAUAUCUAAUAAAGUACGGUUACGAUGUUCGGACACACCAUUACGCUGUGGUGUUCCAGGUGGCGUGAGUUGCGAAACUAUUCCGCAUUGUUUCAAAUGAAGACCAAACUCGCAACUGAAAUAUUUGCCUUUACGAUCAGAUCGUAGAAACUUUAUUUUCUUGUUACGAUGAUUCUCUACUUCACUCUAAAAAUCUUUGAACUUUUCAGAUGUUUCAGAUUUAUGUUUCAUCAAGUAGAUAUACCCAUAUCUGCUCAAAUCAUCUGUGAAGGUUAGAAAAUAAUGAUACCCGCCGCGAGCCUCAACAUUCAUUGGACCGCAUACAUCAGUAUGUAUUGUUUCCAAUAAGUCAGUUGCUCGCUGCAUUGUUCCGGAGAACGGAGUCUUAGUCAUCUUGCCCAUGAGGCAUGGUUCGCAAGCAUCAAGUGAUUCAUAAUCAAGUGAUUCCAAAAGCCCAUCAGCAUGGAGUUUCUUCAUGCGCUUUACACCAAUAUGACCCAAAUGGCAGUGCCACACAUAAGUUGCACUAUCAUUAUUAAACUUAUAUCUUUUGGCUUCAAUAUUAUGAAGAUGUGUAUCAUUAUGAUCGAGAUCCAACAAACCAUUUUCAUUGGGUGUAUGACCAUAGAAGGUUUUAUUCAUGUAAACAGAACAACAAUUAUUCUCUGACUUAAAUGAAUAACCGUAUUGCAAUAAACAUGAUCAAAUCAUAUUCAUGCUCAACGCAAACACCAAAUAACAUUUAUUUAGGUUCGACACUAAUCCCAAAAGUAUAGGGAGUGUGCGAUGAUGAUCAUAUCAAUCUUGGAACCACUUCCAACACACAUCGUCACUUCACCCUUAACUAGUCUUUGUUCAUUCUGCAACUCCCGUUUCGAGUUACUACUCUUAGAAAUUGAACUAGUAUCAAAUACUGAGGGGUUGCUAUAAACACUAGUAAAGUACACAUCAAUAUCAUGUAUAUCAAAUUUACCUUUGUUCACUUUGCCAUCCUUCGUAUCCGCCAAAUACUUGGGGCAGUUCUGCUUCCAGUGACCAGUCCCUUUGCAGAAGAAGCACUUAGUCUCAGGAUUAGGUCUAGACUUGGGCUUCUUCACUUGAGCAGCAACUUGCUUGCCGUUCUUCUUGAAGUUCCCCUUCUUCCCUUUGCCCUUUUCUUGAAACUAGUGGUCUUGUCAACCAUCAACACUUGAUGCUUUUCUUGAUUUCUACCUUCGUCGAUUUCAACAUCACGAAGAGCUUGGGAAUCGUUUCUGUUAUCCCUUGCAUAUUAUAGUUCAUCACGAAGGUCUAGUAACUUGGUGAUAGUGACUAGAGAACUCUGUCAAUCACUAUCUUAUCUAGAAGAUUAACUCUCACUUGAUUCAAGUGAUUAUAGUACUCAGACAUUCCGAGCACAUGCAAACUAGCUGAGCUAUUCUCCUCCAUCUUGUAGGCAAAGUACUGUCAGAGGUAUCAUACCUCUCGACACGGGCAUGAGUAUGAAAUAACAAUUUCAACUCUUCGAACAUCUUAUAUGCUCCAUGGCGUUCAAAACAUUUUUGAAGUCCUGGUUCUAAUCCGUAAAGCAUGGUGCACUAAACUAUCAAGUAGUCAUCAUACCGAGCUUUGUCAAACGUUCAUAAAGUCUGCAUCUGCUCCUGCAAUCGGUCUGUCACCUAGCGGUGCAUCAAGGACAUAAUUCUUCUGUGCAGCAAUGAGGAUAAUCCUCAGAUCACGGAUCCAAUCCGCAUCAUUGCUACUAAUAUCUUUCAACUUAGUUUUCUCUAGGAACAUAUCAAAAAUAAAACAGGGGAGCUAAAUGCGAGCUAUUGAUCUACAACAUAGAUAUGCUAAUACUACCAGGACUAAGUUCAUGAUAAAUUAAAGUUCAAUUAAUCAAAUUACUUAAGAACUCCCACUUAGAUAGACAUCCCUCUAAUCAUCUAAGUGAUCACGUGAUCCAUAUCAACUAAACCAUGUUCGAUCAUCACGUGAGAUGGAGUAGUUUUCAAUGGUGAACAUCACUAUGUUGAUCAUAUCUACUAUAUGAUUCACGCUCGACCUUUCGGUCUCAGUGUUCCGAGGCCAUAUCUGCAUAUGCUAGGCUCGUCAAGUUUAACCCGAGUAUUUCUGCGUGUGCAAAACUGGCUUGCACCCGUUGUAUAUGAACGUAGAGCUUAUCACACCCGAUCAUCACGUGGUGUCUCGGCACGACGAACUUUGGCAACGGUGCAUACUUAGGGAGAACACUUGUACCUUGAAAUUUAGUGGGAGAUCAUCUUAUAAUGCUACCGUCAAUCAAAGCAGAAUAAGAUGCAUAAAAGAUAAACAUCACAUGCAAUCAAUAUAAGUGAUAUGAUAUGGCCAUCAUCAUCUUGUGUCUUUGAUCUCCAUCUCCAAAGCACCGUCAUGAUCACCAUCAUCACGGGCGCGACACCUUGAUCUCCAUUGUAGCAUCGUUGUCGUCUCACCAACUAUUGCUUCUACGACUAUCGCUACCGCUUAGUGAAAAAGUAAAGCAAUUACAGGGUGAUUGCAUUGCAUACAAUAAAGCGACAACCAUAUGCCUCCUGCCAGUUACCGAUAACUCUGUUACAAAACAUGAUCAUCUCAUACAAUAAAAUAUAGCAUCAUGCCUUGACCAUAUCACAUCACAACAUGCCCUGCAAAAACAAGUUAGACGUCCUCUACUUUGUUGUUGCAAGUUUUACGUGGCUGCUACGGGCUGAGCAAGAACCGUUCUUACCUACACAUCAAACCCACAACGAUAUUUCGUCAAGUUAGUGCUGUUUUAACCUUCAACAAGGACCAGGCGUAGUCACACUCGAUUCAACUAAAGUUGGAGAGACUGACACCCGCCAGCCACCUGUGUGCGAAGCACAUCGGUAGAACCAGUCUCGCGUAAGCAUACGCGUAAUGUCGGUCCGGGCCGCUUCAUCCAACAAUACCGCCGAACCAAAGUAUGACAUGCUGGUAAGCAGUAUGACUUGUAUCGCCCACAACUCACUUGUGUUCUACUCGUGCAUAUAACAUCUACGCAUAAACCUGGCUCGGAUGCCACUGUUGGGGGACGUAGUAAUUUCAAAAUUUUCCUACGCACAUGCAAGAUCAUGGUGAUGCAUAGCAACGAGAGGGGAGAGUAUUGUCCACGUACCCUCGUAGACCGUAAGCGGAAGCGUUAUGAGAACGCGGUUGAUGUAGUCGUACGUCUUCACGAUCCGACCGAUCCAAGUACUGUACGCACGGCACCUCCGAGUUCAGCACACGUUCAGCUCGAUGACGUCCCACGAACUCCGAUCCAGCAGAGCUACGUGGGAGAUUUCCGUCAGCACAACAGCGUGAUGACGGUGAUGAUGUUGCUACCGAUCCAGGGCUUCGCCUAAGCACCGCUACGAUAUGAUUGAGGUGGAUUAUGGUGGAGUGGGGCACCGCACACGGCUUGGAACAAUCAACUUGUGUGUCUUUGGGUGCCCCCCACCCCCACCCCCGUAUAUAAAGGAGCAAGGGGGGAGGCCGGCCGGCCCUCGGGGCGCAUGAAGGAGGGGGGAGUCCUCCUCCUAGUAGGAGUAGGACUCCCCUUUCCUAGUCCAACUAGGAAGAGGGAAGGGGGAAGGAAAGAGAGGGAGAGGGAGAGGGAAAGAGGGGCCGCGCCCCCCUCCCCUAGUCCAAUUCGGACUCCUCAUGGGAGGGGGCGCGCCACCUCCUGGGCUGCUGCCCUCUCUCUUCCCUCAGGCCCACUAAGGCCCAAUACUUCCCCGGGGGGUUCCGGUAAUCCCUCCGGCACUCCGAUUUUCUCCGAAACCACCCGGAACACUUCAGGUGUCCAAAUAUAGCCGUCCAAUAUAUCAAUCUUUAUGUCUCGACCAUUUCGAGACUCCUCGUCAUGUCCGUGAUCACAUCCGAGACUCCGAACUACCUUCGGUACAUCAAAUCACAUAAACUCAUAAUACCGAUCGUCACCGAACUUUAAGCGUGCGGACCCUACGGGUUCGAGUACUAUGUAGACAUGACCGAGACACGUCUCCGGUCAAUAACCAAUAGCGGAACCUGGAUGCUCAUAUUGGUUCCUACAUAUUCUACGAAGAUCUUUAUCGGUCAAACCGCAUAACAACAUACGUUGUAUCCUUUGUCAUCGGUAUGUUACUUGCCCGUGAUUCGAUCGUCGGUAUCUCAAUACCUAGUUCAAUCUCAUUACUGGCAAGUCUCUUUACUCGUUCCGUAAUGCAUCAUCCCGCAACUAACUCAUUAGUCACAUCGCUUGCAAGGCUUAUAGUGAUGUGCAUUACCGAGAGGGCCCAUAGAUACCUCUCCGACAAUCAGAGUGACAAAUCCUAAUCUCGAUCUAUGCCAGCUCAACAAGUACCAUCGGAGACACCUGUAGAGCACCUUUAUAAUCACCCAGUUAUGUUGUGACGUUUGGUAGCACACAAAGUGUUCCUCCGGUAUCCGGGAGUUGCAUAAGCUCAUAGUCAUAGGAACAUGUAUAAGUCAUGAAGAAAGCAAUAGCAAUAUACUAAACUAUCAAGUGUUAAGCUAACGGAAUGGGUCAAGUCAAUCACAUCAUUCUCUAAUGAUGUGAUCCCGUUAAUCAAAUGACAACUCAUGUCUAUGGCUAGGAAACUCAACCAUCUUUGAUUCAAUGAGCUAGUCAAGUAGAGGCAUACUAGUGACACUUUGUUUGCCUAUGUAUCCACACAUGUACUAAGUUUCCGGUUAAUACAAUUCUAGCAUGAAUAAUAAACAUUUAUCAUGAAAUAAGGAAAUAAAUAAUAACUUUAUUUUUGCCUCUAGGGCAUAUUUCCUUCAGAAAGUUGUCGCGGAAGGCGUCUUCCAAAUCCUCCCAGCUGCCAAUAGAGUUUUCAGGCAGACUGUUUAACCAGUGCCGAGCUGGCCCUUUAAUUUUUAACGGGAGGUAUUUGAUGGCAUGGAGAUCAUCUCCACGGGCCGUAUGGAUAUGAAGAAGAAAAUCCUCGAUCCACACCGCGGGAUCAGUUGUUCGAUCGUAUGAUUUGAUAUUCACGGGUUUAAACCCUUCUGGGAAUUCAUGCUCCAUUACUUCGUCAGUGAAGCAAAGGGGGUGUGCGGCGCCUCUAUAUCGGGCCACAUCGCGACGUAGCUCCGAUGGAGUCCGUCUGCGGUUUUCGGCCUGGGCGUGUCUAGGCUUGUCACGUCCGAAUAGAUAGCCGUCGUCACGUGUCGGGGCAUGUCCUCGCGAUCCGUAGAUUGAUCUGGUAUGUCCUGCUCUAAUGUCCAGGUUCUGCCGAAGGUCAUAUGUAUAACCCCGAGCUGUUUUUUCUCUGCCUUUACGGCGAGGUGGGGCGGUCUGGUGUUCGGCUUGAGUUGUCGCUUUGUCCCGACCACGUGGUGGUCGGUCAGCCGCAUUGCGCGAUGAUGGUACGGGCUCCGGUGCCUCAUCAUCGAACUGAGGUAGCAAUUUGCGCUUUGGGUAACUUUUGGCUGGGUGCUUAAGGUUGUAUUCUUCGGCUGCCAGGACAUCAGUCCAUCUAUCAUUUAGCAGAUCUUGAUCAGCUUGAAGUUGCUGCUGCUUCUUUUCAGGCUCCUUGCAGUGGCUAUUAGCUGGCGCUUAAAGUGCUCCUCCUCGAGGGUUUCCUCAGGCAUGAUAAAAUCCUCGUUGCCGAGGCUCGCCUCCUCCUCGGAGAGCGGAAGAUAAUUACUGUCCUCCGAGUCUUCGUUUAUGGCCUGUUCAUCGGGGCUAACUUGCCCAUCUUCCCGUUCUUCUUGUUCGGAAGUUGCUUUAACGGGGUAUUCAUUGUCUUCGGCACCGUCCGGAGUAUUAUCUUCUCCUGUACCGGUGUUACUAUCUUUGUUGCGGCGUGAUUUUGAGCGGCGGCGUUGACGCCGGCGCUUUGGUGGUAUCUCAGGAGGUUUAUCCUUGAUUGGAUCCUUCUUGUUAUCGCCCUUGUUCUCUUCAGGUGUGUCCACCAUGUAUACGUCAUACGAGGAGGUGUUGGACGGCGGGUUUUGGGCCUCCUCUUCUCCGGCAUCGUCGUCCAUGCCGUCGAUGUCUUCGGAGCCGUAAUCGAGCAUGCCAGUUAGGUCUUCAACAGUGGCUAUGAAGUGGGCGGUGGGUGGGAAGCGAAAUUCCCUGCCAUGGUUCGGACCGGAUAGUGUUCGGCUGCGAGCCCCCCGCUAAGGAUAGUGCUCUUAACGAGUUUAACACGUCGCCCAAAGGCGAGUGCCGAAAAAUGUCCGCGGAGCUGAAUUCAACGAUCGAUGACUGAUCGAGCUCGACGCUUGUGGACGCACAUGGUUCGGAGCCUGUAACCGGAAACGAGUCCAAGGCUCCGGUAACAUGGAUUCCACUCGAGGUUGGGUAUGUGUGCGGCUCUGACGCCGCUAGGACUGCGGCAUCCGUGGCGGGGUUGAGCUUCCUGUCUUCGGAUGACGCGAUCUGCUCCGGAUCUAAGGCCAGAGCAGUCACAGGUACUAUCUCCUGGGUAUGGUCCGAUGACAGAUUUAAGUCAUGUUCAUCGUGGUGACGGGAAGCGGCUGCCGAGGUCUCAAAUCCGUCGAAGAUCAAUUCUCCGCGGAUAUCCACGACAUAGUUCAAGCUCCUGAAUCUGACCUGACGGCCGGGGGCGUAGCUGUCGAUCUGCUCCAGAUGGCCAAGCGAGUUGGCCCGCUGUGCGAAGCCACCGAACACGAAGAUCUGUCCGGGGAGGAAGACUUCCCCUUGGAUAGCAUUGUUGUAGAUGAUUGAAGGAGCCAUCGAACCUUUUGAGGACAGCACAGUGGAACUCUCAAUGAAAGCACCAAUGUCGGUGUCAAAACCGGCGGAUCUCGGGUAGGGGGUCCCGAACUGUGUGUCUAAGGUCAAUGGUAACAGGAGACAAGGGACAAUGUUUACCCAGGUUCGGGCCCUCUCUAUGGAGGUAAUACCCUACUUCCUGCUUGAUUGAUCUUGAUGAAUGUGAGUAUUACAAGAGUUGAUCUACCACGAGCUCGUAAUGGCUAAAACCCUAGAAGUCUAGCCUGUCUGACUAUAAUUGUAUAUAUCCUCAACGGACUAAGCCCUCCGGUUUAUAUAGACAUCGGAGGGGACUAGGGUUACACAAAGUCGGUUACAGAGAAGGGAAUCUUCAUAUUUGGUCGCCAAGCUUGCCUUCCACGCCAAGGAGAGUCCCAUCCGGACACGGGUAAAGUCUUCGGUCUUUGUAUCUUCACAGCCCAUUAGUCCAGCCCAUGUCCAACAGACCGGACACCCGAGGACCCCUUAGUCCAGGACUCCCUCAAUGAGGGCCUCGGAUAGUGCCUCGAGGGCCAGGGAUGCGGUUUUGUUUUCGGCACGGAGUGCUAUAUCCGGAUCGCUGGUGAUAGUGAUUACUCCAUUGGGCCAUGGUGUUUUGAGCUUCAUGUACCCGCAAUGGGGUAUGGCUUGAAAGUGUGCAAAGGUGUCCUGCCCCAAAAGGGCGUGGUAUCCGCUAUUGAAAGGGGCCACGUGGAAGAGCAACUCUUCGGACCUGUAGUUUUCAGGCGUGCUGAAUACUACGUCGAGUUUAAUUUUUCCCGAGCAUCGCGCUUCUCGACUGGGGACAAUACCUCGAAAGGCAGUACUACUUUGCUCGAUGUGGCUCUUGUCCAUUUGCAUUUUGUCGAGCGUGUCUUCGUAGAUGAGGUUAAUGAAGGAAAUAUGCCCUAGAGGCAAUAAUAAAGUAUUAUAUAUUUCCUUAUAUCAUGAUAAAUGUUUAUUAUUCAUGCUAGAAUUGUAUUAACCGGAAACAUAAUACAUGUGUGAAUACAUAGACAAACAGAGUGUUACUAGUAUGCCUCUACUUGACUAGCUCGUUAAUCAAAGAUGGUUAUGUUUCCUAGCCAUAGACAUGAGUUGUCAUUUGAUUAACGUGAUCACCUCAUUAGGAGAAUGACGUGAUUGACAUGACCCAUUACGUUAGCUUAGCACCCGAUCGUUUAGUAUGUUGUGAUUGCUUUCUUCAUGACUUAUACAUGUUCCUAUGACUAUGAGAUUAUGCAACUCCCGUUUACCGGAGGAACACUUUGUGUGCUACCAAACAUCACAACGUAACUGGGUGAUUAUAAAGGUGCUCUACAGGUGUCUCCAAAGGUACUUGUUGGGUUGGCGUAUUUCGAGAUUAGGAUUUGUCACUCCGAUUGUCGGAGAGGUAUCUCUGUGCCCACUCGGUAAUGCACAUCACUAUAAGCCUUGCAAGCAUUGUGACUAAUGAGUUAGUUGCGGGAUUAUGUAUUACGGAACGAGUAAAGAGACUUGCCGGUAACGAGAUUGAACUAGGUAUCGAGAUACCGACGAUCGAAUCUCGGGCAAGUAACAUACCGAUGACAAAAGGAACAACGUAUGUUGUUAUGCGGUCUGACCGAUAAAGAUCUUCGUAGAAUAUGUGGGAGCCAAUAUGGGCAUCCAGGUCCCGCUAUUGGUUAUUGACCGGAGAGGUGUCUCAGUCAUGUCUACAUAGUUCUCGAACCCAAAGGGUCUGCACGCUUAAAGUUACGAUGACAGUUAUAUUAUGAGUUUAUGUGAUUUGAUGUACCGAAGGUUGUUCGGAGUCCCGGAUGUGAUCACGGACAUGACGAGGAGUCUCGAAAUGGUCGAGACGUAAAGAUUGAUAUAUUGGACGACUAUAUUCGGACACCGGAAGUGUUCCGGAGAAGUUUCGGAUUAAACCGGAGUGCCGGAGGGUUACCGGAACCCCCCGGGGAAGUAUUGGGCCUUGGUGGGCCUUGAGGGGAGAGAGAGGGCAGCAGCCAGGAGGUGGCGCGCACCCUCCCAAGGGGAAUCCUAGUUGGACUAGGAGAGGAGGGCGUAGCCCCCUUUCCCUCUCCCUCUCCCUCUCUUUCCUUCCCCCCCUUCUUCCCUAGUAGGACUAGGAAAGGGGAGUCCUACUCCUACUAGGAGGAGGACUCCCCUCUCUCCUUGGCGCGCCUAGGGCAGCCGGCCUCCCCCUUGCUCCUUUAUAUACGGGGGCAGGGGGGCACCUAAGAACACACUUGAUAUACGAUAUUUUAGCCGUGUGCGGUGCCCCCCUCCACCAGAUUACACCUCGAUAAUACCGUCGUGGAGCUUAGGCGAAGCCCUGCGUCGGUGGAACAUCAUCAUCGUCACCACGCCGUCGUGCUGACGAAACUCUCCCUCAACACUCGGCUGGAUCGGAGUUCGAGGGACGUCAUCGAGCUGAACGUGUGUAGAACUUGGAGGUGCCGUACGUUCGGUACUUGAUCGGUCGGAUCGUGAAGACGUACGACUACAUCAACCGCGUUGUGAUAACGCUUCCGCUGUUGGUCUACGAGGGUGCGUGGACAACACUCUCCCCUCUCGUUGUUAUGCAUCACCAUGAUCUUGCGUGUGCGUAGGAAUUUUUUUGAAAUUACUACGUUCCCCAACAGUGGCAUCCGAGCCUGGUUUUAUGCGUUGAUGCUAUGCACGAGUAGAACACAAGUGAGUUGUGGGCGAUAUAAGUCAUACUGCUUACCAGCAUGUCAUACUUUGGUUCAGCGGUAUUGUGAGAUGAAGCGGCCCGGACCGACAUUACGCGUACGCUUACGCGAGACUGGUUUCACCGUUCGGAGCACUCGUUGCUUAAAGGUGACUGGCGGGUGUCUGUCUCUCUCACUUUAGUUGAACCGAGUGUGGCUACGCCCGGUCCUUGCGAAGGUUAAAACAGCACCAACUUGACAAACUAUCGUUGUGGUUUUGAUGCGUAGGUAAGAACGGUUCUUGCUAAGCCCGUAGCAGCCACGUAAAACAUGCAACAACAAAGUAGAGGACGUCUAACUUGUUUUUGCAGGGCAUGUUGUGAUGUGAUAUGGUCAAGACAUGAUGUGAUAUAAUGUGUUGUAUGAGAUGAUCAUGUUUUGUAACCGAGUUAUCGGCAACUGGCAGGAGCCAUAUGGUUGUCGCUUUAUUGUAUGAGAUGCAAUCGCCAUGUAAUAGUUUUACUUUAUCACUAAGCGGUAGUGAUAGUCGUAAAAGCAAUAAGUUGGCGAGACGACAACAAUACUACGAUGGAGAUCAAGGUGUCGUGCCGGUGACGAUGGUGAUCAUGACGGUGCUUCGGAGAUGGAGAUCACGAGCACGGUGCUUCGGAGAUGGAGAUCACAAGCACAAGAUGAUGAUGGCCAUAUCAUAUCACUUAUAUUGAUUGCAUGUGAUGUUAAUCCUUUAUGCAUCUUAUCUUACUUUGAUUGACGGUAGCAUUAUAAGAUGAUCCCUCACUAAAAUUUCAAGAUAAAAGUGUUCUCCCUGAGUAUGCACCGUUGCGAAAGUUCUUCGUGCUGAGACACCACGUGAUGAUCGGGUGUGAUAAGCUCUACGUUCAAAUACAACGGGUGCAAAACAGUUGCACAUGCGGAAUACUCAGGUUAAACUUGACGAGCCUAGCAUAUGUACAGAUAUGGCCUCGGAACACAGAGACCGAAAGGUCGAGCGUGAAUCAUAUAGUAGAUAUGAUCAACAUAGUGAUGUUCACCAUUGAAACUACUCCAUCUCACGUGAUGAUCGGACAUGGUUUAGUUGAUUUGGAUCACGUAAUCACUUAGAUGAUUAGAGGGAUAUCUAUCUAAGUGGGAGUUCUUAAAGUAAUAUGAUUAAUUGCACUUCAAUUUAUCAUGAACUUAGUACCUGAUAGUAUCUUGCUUGUCUAUGUUAAUUGUAGAUAAAUGGCCCGUGUUGUUGUUCCGUUGAAUUUUAAUGCGUUCCUUGAGAAAGCUAAGUUGAAAGAUGAUGGUAGCAAUUACACGGACUGGGUCCGUAACUUGAGGAUUAUCCUCAUUGCUGCACAGAAGAAUUACGUCCUGGAAGCACCGCUAGGUGCCAGGCCUCCUGCAAGAGCUACGCCAGAAGUUAUGAACGUCUGGCAAAGCAAAGCUGAUGACUACUCAAUAGUUGAGUGUGCCAUGCUUUACGGCUUAGAACCGGGACUUCAACGACGUUUUGAACGUCAUGGAGCAUAUGAGAUGUUCCAGGAGUUGAAGUUAAUAUUUCAAGCAAAUGCCCGGAUUGAGAGAUAUGAAGUCUCCAAUAAGUUCUAUAGCUGCAAGAUGGAAGAGAAUAGUUCUGUCAGUGAGCAUAUACUCAGAAUGUCUGGAUAUAAUAAUCACUUGGUUCAACUAGGAGUUGAACUUCCGGAUGAUUGAGUCAUUGACAGAAUUCUUCAAUCACUGCCACCAAGCUACAAGAGCUUCGUGAUGAACUAUAACAUGCAAGGGAUGGAUAAGACAAUUCCCGAGCUCUUCGCAAUGCUAAAAGCAGCGGAGGUAGAAAUCAAAAAGGAGCAUCAAGUGUUGAUGGUCAGUAAAACCACUAGUUUCAAGAAAAAGGGCAAAGGGAAGAAGAAAGGGAACUUCAAGAAGAACAGCAAGCAAGUUGCUGUUCAGGAGAAGAAAUCCAAGUCUGGACCCAAGCCUGAAACUGAGUGCUUCUACUAUAAGCAGACUGGCCACUGGAAGCGGAACUGCACCAAGUAUUUGGCGGAUAAGAAGGAUGGCAAGGUUAACAAAGGUAUAUGUGAUAUACAUGUUAUUGAUGUGUACCUUACUAAUACUCGCAGUAGCACCUGGGUAUUUGAUACUGGUUCUGUUGCUAAUAUUUGCAACUCGAAACAGGGGCUACGGAUUAAGCGAAGUUUGGCUAAGGACGAGGUGACGAUGCGCGUGGGAAAUGGUUCCAAAGUCGAUGUGAUCGCCGUCGGCACGCUACCUCUACAUCUACCUUCGGGAUUAGUUUUAGACCUAAAUAAUUUUUAUUUGGUGCCAGCGUUGAGCAUGAACAUUAUAUCUGGAUCUUGUUUAAUGCGAGACGGUUAUUCAUUUAAAUUAGAGAAUAAUGGUUGUUCUAUUUAUAUGAAUAAUAUCUUUUAUGGUCAUGCACCCUUGAAGAGUGGUCUAUUUUUAAUGAAUCUCGAUAGUAGUGAUACACAUAUUCAUAAUGUUGAAGCCAAAAGAUGCAGAGUUAAUAAUGACAGUGCAACUUAUUUGUGGCACUGCCGUUUGGGUCAUAUCGGUGUAAAGCGCAUGAAGAAACUCCAUACUGAUGGAAUUUUGGAAUCACUUGAUUUUGAAUCACUUGGUACUUGCGAACCGUGCCUUAUGGGCAAGAUGACCAAAACACCGUUCUCCGGAACUAUGGAGAGAGCAACAGAUUUGUUGGAAAUCAUACAUACAGAUGUAUGUGGUCCGAUGAAUAUUGAGGCUCGUGGCGGAUAUCGUUAUUUUCUCACCUUCACAGAUGAUUUGAGCAGAUAUGGGUAUAUCUACUUAAUGAAACAUAAGUCUGAAACAUUUGAAAAGUUCAAAGAAUUUCAGAGUGAAGUUGAAAAUCAUCGUAACAAGAAAAUAAAAUUCCUACGAUCUGAUCGUGGAGGAGAAUAUUUGAGUUACGAGUUUGGUCUACAUUUGAAACAAUGCGGAAUAGUUUCGCAACUCACGCCACCCGCAACACCACAGCGUAAUGGUGUGUCCGAACGUCGUAAUCGUACUUUAUUAGAUAUGGUGCGAACUAUGAUGUCUCUUACUGAUUUACCGCUAUCGUUUUGGGGUUAUGCUUUAGAGACGGCUGCAUUCACUCUAAAUAGGACACCAUCGAAAUCCAUUGAGACGACGCCUUUUGAACUAUGGUUUGGCAAGAAACCAAAGUUGUCGUAUCCUAAAGUUUGGGGUUGCGAUGCUUAUGUGAAGAAACUUCAACCUGAUAAGCUCGAACCUAAAUCGGAGAAAUGUGUCUUCAUAGGAUACCCAAAGGAGACUGUUGGGUACACCUUCGAUCACAGAUCCGAAGGCAAGAUAUUCGUUGCUAAGAAUGGAUCCUUUCUAGAGAAGGAGUUUCUCUCGAAAGAUGUGAGUGGGAGGAAAGUAGAACUUGAUGAGGUAACUGUACCUGCUCCCUUAUUGGAAAGUAGAUCAUCACAGAAAUCAGUUUCUGCGACACCUACACCAAGUAGUGAGGAAGUUAAUGAUAAUGAUCAUGAAACUUCAGAUCAAGUUAUUACUGAACUUCGUAGGUCAACUAGAUCAAGAUCCGCACCAGAGUGGUACGGUAAUCCUGUUCUGGAGGUCAUGUUACUGGACCAUGGCGAACCUACGAACUAUGAAGAAGCGAUGGUGAGCCUAGAUUCCGCAAAAUGGCUUGAAGCCAUGAAAUCCGAGAUGGGAUCCAUGUAUGAGAACAAAGUAUGGACUUUGGUUGACUUGCCCGAUGGUCGGCAAGCCAUUGAAAAUAAAUGGAUCUUCAAGAAGAAGACUGACGCUGAUGGUAAUGUUACUGUCUAUAAAGCUCGACUUGUUGCGAAAGGUUUUCGACAAGUUCAAGGGAUUGACUACGAUGAGACCUUCUCACCCGUAGCGAUGCUUAAGUCUGUCCGAAUCAUGUUAGCAAUUGCCGCAUUUUAUGAUUAUGAAAUUUGGCAAAUGGAUGUCAAAACUGCGUUCCUGAAUGGAUUUCUGGAAGAAGAGUUGUAUAUGAUGCAACCGGAAGGUUUUGUCGAUCCAAAGGGAGCUAACAAAGUGUGCAAGCUCCAGCAAUCCAUUUAUGGACUGGUGCAAGCCUCUCGGAGUUGGAAUAAAUGCUUUGAUAGUGUGAUCAAAGCAUUUGGUUUUAUACAGACUUUUGGAGAAGCCUGUAUUUACAAGAAAGUGAGUGGGAGCUCGAUAGCAUUUCUGAUAUUAUAUGUGGAUGACAUAUUACUGAUUGGAAAUGAUAUAGAAUUUCUGGAUAGCAUAAAGGGAUACUUGAAUAAGAGUUUUUCAAUGAAAGACCUCGGUGAAGCUGCAUAUAUAUUAGGCAUUAAGAUCUAUAGAGAUAGAUCAAGACGCUUAAUUGGACUUUCACAAAGCACAUACCUUGACAAAGUUUUGAAGAAGUUCAAAAUGGAUCAAGCAAAGAAAGGGUUCUUGCCUGUACUACAAGGUGUGAGAUUGAGUAAGACUCAAUGCCCGACCACUGCAGAAGAUAGAGAGAAAAUGGAAGAUGUUCCCUAUGCUUCAGCCAUAGGCUCUAUCAUGUAUGCAAUGUUGUGUACCAGACCUGAUGUGUCCCUUGCUAUAAGUUUAGCAGGGAGGUACCAAAGUAAUCCAGGAGUGGAUCACUGGACAACGGUCAAGAACAUCCUGAAAUACCUGAAAAGGACUAAGGAUAUGUUUCUCGUUUAUGGAGGUGACAAAGAGCUCAUCGUAAGGGGUUACGUUGAUGCAAGCUUUGACACUGAUCCGGACGAUUCGAAAUCGCAAACCGGAUACGUAUUUACAUUGAACGGUGGAGCUGUCAGUUGGUGCAGUUCCAAGCAAAGUGUCAUGGCGGGAUCUACGUGUGAAGCGGAAUACAUAGCUGCUUCGGAAGCAGCGAAUGAAGGAGUCUGGAUGAAGGAGUUCAUAUCCGAUCUAGGUGUCAUACCUAGUACAUCGGGACCAAUGAAAAUCUUUUGUGAUAAUACUGGUGCAAUUGCCUUAGCAAAGGAAUCCAGAUUUCACAAGAGAACCAAGCACAUCAGAAGACGCUUCAAUUCCAUCCGGGAUUUAGUCCAGGUGGGAGACAUAGAAAUUUGCAAGAUACAUACGGAUCUGAAUGUAGCAGACCCAUUGACUAAGCCUCUUCCACGAGCAAAACAUGAUCAACACCAAGACUCCAUGGGUGUAAGAAUCAUUACUAUGUAAUCUAGAUUAUUGACUCUAGUGCAAGUGGGAGACUGAAGGAAAUAUGCCCUAGAGGCAAUAAUAAAGUAUUAUAUAUUUCGUUAUAUCAUGAUAAAUGUUUAUUAUUCAUGCUAGAAUUGUAUUAACCGGAAACAUAAUACAUGUGUGAAUACAUAGACAAACAGAGUGUCACUAGUAUGCCUCUACUUGACUAGCUCGUUAAUCAAAGAUGGUUAUGUUUCCUAGCCAUAGACAUGAGUUGUCAUUUGAUUAACGGGAUCACCUCAUUAGGAGAAUGACGUGAUUGACAUGACCCAUUACGUUAGCUUAGCACCCGAUCGUUUAGUAUGUUGCUAUUGCUUUCUUCAUGACUUAUACAUGUUCCUAUGACUAUGAGAUUAUGCAACUCCCGUUUACCGAAGGAACACUUUGUGUGCUACCAAACGUCACAACGUAACUGGGUGAUUAUAAAGGUGCUCUACAGGUGUCUCCAAAGGUACUUGUUGGGUUGGCGUAUUUCGAGAUUAGGAUUUGUCACUCCGAUUGUCGGAGAGGUAUCUCUGGGCCCACUCAGUAAUACACAUCACUAUAAGCCUUGCAAGCAUUGUGACUAAUGAGUUAGUUGCGGGAUGAUGUAUUACGGAACAAGUAAAGAGACUUGCCGGUAACGAGAUUGAACUAGGUAUCGAGAUACCGACGAUCGAAUCUCGGGCAAGUAACAUACCGAUGACAAAGGGAACAACGUAUGUUGUUAUGCGGUCUGACCGAUAAAGAUCUUCGUAGAAUAUGUGGGAGCCAAUAUGGGCAUCCAGGUCCCGCUAUUGGUUAUUGACCGGAGAGGUGUCUCAGUCAUGUCUACAUAGUUCUCGAACCCAAAGGGUCCGCACGCUUAAAGUUACGAUGACAGUUAUAUUAUGAGUUUAUGUGAUUUGAUGUACCGAAGGUUGUUCGGAGUCCCGGAUGUGAUCACGGACAUGACGAGGAGUCUCGAAAUGGUCGAGACGUAAAGAUUGAUAUAUUGGACGACUAUAUUCGGACACCGGAAGUGUUCCGGAGAAGUUUCGGAUUAAACCGGAGUGCCGGAGGGUUACCGGAACCCCCCGGGGAAGUAUUGGGCCUUGGUGGGCCUUGAGGGGAGAGAGAGGGCAGCAGCCAGGAGGUGGUGCGCCCCCUCCCAAGGGGAAUCCUAGUUGGACUAGGAGAGGGGGCGCAGCCCCCUUUCCCUCUCCCUCUCCCUCUCUUUCCUUCCCCCCUUCUUUCCUAGUAGGACUAGGAAAGGGGAAUCCUACUCCUACUAGGAGGAGGACUCCCGCUCUCUCCUUGGCGCGCCUAGGGCAGCCGGACUCCCCCUUGCUCCUUUAUAUACGGGGGCAGGGGGGCACCUAAGAACACACUUGAUAUACGAUAUUUUAGCCGUGUGCGGUGCCCCCCUCCACCAGAUUACACCUCGAUAAUACCGUCGCGGAGCUUAGGCGAAGCCCUGCGUCGGUGGAACAUCAUCAUCGUCACCACGCCAUCGUGCUGACGAAACUCUCCCUCAACACUCGGCUGGAUCGGAGUUCGAGGGACGUCAUCGAGCUGAACGUGUGUAGAACUUGGAGGUGCCGUAUGUUCGGUACUUGACCGUUCGGAUCGUAAAGACGUACGACUACAUCAACCGCGUUGUGAUAACGCUUCCGUUGUCGGUCUACGAGGGUACGUGGACAACACUCUCCCCUCUCGUUGUUAUGCAUCACCAUGAUCUUGCGUGUGCGUAGGAAUUUUUUUGAAAUUACUACGUUCCCCAACAGUUAAGUCCGCUUCCGUCGUCCAUGAGCCCUUUGGUGAGUCGAAAGCCGUCCACAAUUGGAUUUAAGACCAAGGCGGUUGGUGCUCGAACUGAUCGGGCCCUUGGUUCGUCGUCUGCGGCGAAAGUUAUGGCCGUAUCGCUCCAAGGGUUUGUUGCGGUUACUUGGUUGCCUUCGGCGAGGUUGCGGAGCGCCCGUUUGCGCCGAUUAUUUGAAGAAAAGGUCUCAAAGACUGUAAAGACGUUGAAAUCGUCAUCCUCCGAAGAAUGCUUCUCUGGAGUAGUGUUGGUGAGGAUAGCCUCACUGCUCUUAGCCACCUGCCGGGAGUACCCAACAUGCCCGAAGGCUAUGCGUUGGUUCGGUGCUUGGCGUCGUAUGUUUCUGAUAGGGCUUGUCGAGCAGUUCGUCAAGGACGGUUCUAUAUACCGUAAAGGGCUUGUUUUUCUUGUCAAUGGGCUUGUGGUCGGAUGUUCUGUAGGGGUGCAUCCAUUUUUCCCGUAUGGUGGUUUGCUUAAAGGCCGGAGGUUCCCACCGGGCUGUCUGGGCCUUCCAUGCGCUUUCCAUCGUGCAUUACUUCUGUACGAUGUGUGUCAAAUCUGCGAAGUGCUGUAUGCAGCGGCGGUUGAGGGCAUCGAGGAUUCCCUCGUCCGUACAGUUACGGAAAAAAAAACUGAAACCGCGUCGUCGGCGCAACAAUCUUUAAUCUUGUUUUUAACAAGGAGGAAUCUGGCCUAGAAGUGAUGAACCGUUUCCUGAGGUUGCUGCCGAACAUACAUUAGGUCACAUAUGUUAGGAGGCCCUGAAUUGCUUGGGGAAUAUUGCUUGUGGUGGGUGGGCGGGCUAAAAUCUGAACCCUGACCCACGAUUGGAUCUGAAGUUUGAAGAAUCUCCUAGGUCACUAGUUCAGGAUCAGCGAGGUCCUGAAGACUUCCGGGAUUAAUGCUUGAUUCUAUGUUCGGGGGACAUGAAGUCUCCUCCUGAAGAUAGGUAUUCGGCUCGCAGGGCUCAGAAAUCCGAACAUAGCUGGUGCUUAACUUAGGGGGAGAAGCGUUCUCCGCUCGUUCCUCAACGACCGCUACCAAAUGGGUGAUCGGCGGGGACUUGAUUUCCCUCUGAUCGGGUUUAAGCCCAAUCCGAUCAUAGUCUGUUGCGACCCCCAGGGCGGCGAUGCGAUCUAGCAGCUCGUUCAAGGACGAGACAUCUACGGAUCCAUCUUUUCGGAGUGUUCAAGGCUGACGCGGAGAUGAUGUUUGGCGAUCGUGGGGGCCGCUGUUGGCUUGACGGCCGAGCGAGCGCCCAUGGUAAAACCGCCGAGCUGGAGGACCUGUCCUGGAGUUAGGGCCCUUCUAGAAGUAAUAUCGUCAUUAAUGACAAGGCGAGCCAUCGAUCCUUCUAUCGACAACACAAAGGAACUCUCAAUGAAAGCACCAAUGUCGGUGUCAAAGCCGGCCGAUCUUGGGUAGGGGGUCCCGAACUAUGCGUGUGAGGAUCGAAGGUAACAGGAGACAAAGGGGACAUGAUGUUUACCCAGGUUCGAGACCUCUUAAUGGAGGUAAAACCCUACUUCCUGCUUGUUUGACUUUGAUGAGUAUAUGGGUUACAAGAGUUGAUCUACCUCGAGAUCGUAAUGACUAAACACUAACUGACUAGCCUAUGUAAAUUCUGAUAGCCUCUACAGACUAAACCCUCCGGUUUAUAUACACACCGGAGGGGCCUAGGGUUGUACAAAGUCGGUUCACAGGGGAAGGAAAUUACAUAUCCGGACACCAAUCUUGCCAUCCACGCAUAGGAGAGCCUUAUCCGGACACGGGAGGAAGGCCUUUUGCCUUGUAUCUUCACAGACCAUCAGUCCGGCCCAUACAGAAUCGGCCGGUCACCUGAGGACCCCCAAAUCCAGGACUCCCUCACACGCCGCAACACCCCGUAUGGGUGUUCUUCAAGUGCACAAAUGAUGUGGUAUGUGCUUGUUUUGAUUCGAUUGUUCACCGGAUUCGACGCAAUUUUGGUAGCUCAUCUGUGUGCUUAUUUGCUCAUCUAUGUGUGUAGAAUGGAUGCAAGUUUUGGUAUUGGGAAGAAGAAUGCAUCGAUCUAUUGAUAGCACGAAAAUUGAUAGAUGUUUGUGCACUCGUUGCAAGAAUUGAAGCUUGAGAAAAGGCUAGAGAUGAGACUAGAGAUGAGGUUACUAAAGAGGCAACGUCUACUUCUUUAGAAUCGAAGAAGAAAGAAGUGUUGAAUAUCAAGAAUCCACAGAUCAACAAUGAAGACAUAGAGAAGAUAUUAAUCCAACUAGUAGGAACAGUUAGGGAAGUUGAAAAUCUUCUAAAAUGUCUAAUUGUCGUUCUUGUUUUUUUGGUCUUGCUCUAGUGGCGAAGAAUUGGUGAAUUAUUUACUCCAAUGUCGUUGAAUGAAAUAAAAAAAGUAAGAAAAUGUGUUUCGGUGGUUGAGUAUGUGACGCAAAUGGGAAUUUUAUUUUAUUCCGUUAAAUUUAGGGGAUCGGCUAGAAAUGGCCAAAACUUAGUGGAGUAAAUUUACUCCGCCGUUUUACUCCUCUAUUUAUAAGGGAUCGGUUAGAGUUGCUCUAAAUGAACUCGAUAGUUCAAACUUUUAGAACAUGACAAUUCUUGAUAGUUUGAUGGAAUGUAGAUGAAUCCCCUCCGCUAUAUGUGAUCUAAAUGAACUACGUGUGUUUAUUUUUACGUUGCGUUGCGUGUGUUUAUUUUACAUUGCAUGUUUAUUUAUAUCGCUGCGUGUGUUUGUUUUACAUUGCAUGAGAGUAUGAAUUUAAGGAUUUGCUACGAGGAAGACGGUUGUAGACGUGGACAUUUGAGAUUUGAGGGGCAACUCACUUUUGACGGGUCCGGUUGUAGAUGCUUUAACAGGCCACCCGUAGUAUAGUGUGGUAGUAGGAUCAUGAAAAAUGAAUCAAGGCACACAAGAACAAGUACAGAACUGAUGGACAAAUUGCCAAAUUUCUCCUUUUCAAUUCAAUGCUCAUGUCCCGUCUCCAACACACGAAUGAACUCAACAUAAAACAUCUCUAUUUCCACCACGGGCACCACAGGAGAAAAUCUCGAAUUGGAACAGAAUUACAAAAUGAAAGGCAAGCUAGAGCUUAAUCUGCGGCCCAUUCCAUCCUUCACCUUAGGAGCAGCUUCUCAGGACUCGAAUGGGCAUAUACCAGAACCAAGAACAGGAGUAAUUUUCAUACUAGUAGAAGCAGCAGUAGUACGUAGUAUAGUUCGAGAAGAAGAGCGAUGAUUUGAUAACCGGCCAUUGAUCGCGGAGCGCGCAGCUGCAAUCCAACGACGAGG
rnacentral:lncRNA from 1 species